AUCAUGACCUGAGCCGUAGUCAAGAGACAGAUGCUUAACCGACUGGGCCACCCAGGCACUCUGAGCAACAGCAGGAUGGACACUUCCAGCAAAGGUCUCAUUAUCAGUGAAGACAAUGAAGACAUCAGCAGCUGUGUUUGUCAUUUGAGCCCAGAUCAUCGGAAGAGAGCAAUCAGUUCCACCUGCUGGGAUCUAAUGCAAAACAAAAACAUGGAUUAGAAUAAAAGUGCCCUAGUUUCCAUACUGA